CCUACGGGAGGCAGCAGUAGGGAAUAUUGCUCAAUGGGGGAAACCCUGAAGCAGCAACGCCGCGUGGAGGAUGAAGGUUUUCGGAUUGUAAACUCCUUUUGUUAGAGAAGAUAAAGACGGUAACUAACGAAAAAUCCCCAGAGAAUUCCGAUCCAGCAGCCGCGGGAAAACGGAGGGCGCAAGCGUUACUCGGAAUUACUGGGCGUAAGGAGGGCGGAGGCGGUUUAGCAAGUCAGAUGUGAAAUCCGAUGGCUUAACCAUAGAACUUCAUUUGAAACUGUUAGUCUAGAGUGUGGGAGAGGUAGGUGGAAUUCUUUGUGUAGGGGUAAAAUCCGUAGAGAUCAAGAGGAAUACUCAUUGCGAAGGCGACCUGCUAGAACGUAACUGACGCUGAUGCGCGAAAGCGUGGGGAGCAAACAGGAUUAGAUACCCGGGUAGUC
rnacentral:rRNA from 1 species